AGAGUUUGAUCCUGGCUCAGAACGAACGCUGGCGGCGCGCUUAACACAUGCAAGUCGAGCGCUUCUGGGGCAACUCAGAGGAGCGGCGCACGGGUGCGUAACACGUGGGUAAUCUGCCCGGAAGUGUGGGAUAACUCGCCGAAAGGCGAGCUAAUACCGCAUAAGCUCCCGAGGUCUUCGGACCUGGAGAGAAAAGGAGCAAUUCGCUUCCGGAUGAGCCCGCGGCCCAUCAGCUUGUUGGCGGGGUAACGGCCCACCAAGGCUAAGACGGGUAGCUGGUCUGAGAGGACGGCCAGCCACACUGGAACUGAGACACGGUCCAGACUCCUACGGGAGGCAGCAGUGGGGAAUCUUGCGCAAUGGGCGAAAGCCUGACGCAGCGACGCCGUGUGUGCGAUGAAGGUCUUCGGAUCGUAAAGCACUGUCGCCCGGGACAAAGCAAGUGAUGGUACCGGGAGAGGAAGCACCGGCUAACUCUGUGCCAGCAGCCGCGGUAAUACAAAGGGUGCGAGCGUUGUUCGGAAUUAUUGGGCGUAAAGCGCUGGUAGGUGGCUUGUUAAGUCGCGUGUGAAAGCUCCCGGCUCAACCGGGAAAGGGCGCGCGAAACUGGCGAGCUUGAGUGCCGGAGAGGGUCGCGGAAUUCCCAGUGUAGAGGUGAAAUUCGUAGAUAUUGGGAGGAACACCAGAGGCGAAGGCGGCGACCUGGAAGGUGACUGACACUGAGCAGCGAAAGCGUGGGGAGCAAACAGGAUUAGAUACCCCAGUAGUCC
rnacentral:rRNA from 1 species